UAGGUGAUAUUCCCUCCCCCUCUACAUCAGAUUUUGCAGCCUGCAUCAUAAUUCGGUUAUGUGCAUCACUGUCAUUAUUGGGUUAUAUAUGCCGUCACCAUGGAGACACUGUGGUGUAUUUAUUUCGUUUUUAUUUUGUACCAACACAGAAUAUAAUAUGUUUUUUUGUAUUUUUCACUUUCUUUUAUUCCAACACAGAACAUUAAUUUCAACUUUAGAAUUACAAUAUUUAGCAAUAAGAAGACGGCGUGCUUUCCGGUUUUAAUCCACGCAAAUGUUUCUAAACUUAGAUGAUUUCUGAUAAAGGUCAAGUUGCGCAUUUGUGCCAAUCAGCCACAUCAUGUUAAAAUGUUAUAGUUACAAUUAAAUGAAGCAAUUUGAGCUUUUGAUUUAAACAAGAACCAGAAAAAAUGAACAUUUAAUCGAAAAUCUGUAAAUGUUUUAAACCAAAUUAUAUUUUUAAGCACUUCAACCAUAGGAACGUCUGAUUAUUUUUGCCAUUGAUUUCUCAAAAUAACAAUAACAAAUUAACAAUGAUAACUUCAAAAAAGAAAAAAAUCUUUCAAAAAUCGAAUUUUACUUUCUCAUUGCCAGUGGUUACAUUACAUGUAAUUAAAUUACAAAGUAGUAAUCAAUUACAGUUUCUGUGGGGAAAAAAGUAACAAUAUUACAGUUACUGAUGAAAAUAUUGGUGAUUAUAAAGAGGUUACAUCUGAUUAUAUUAUUUUUGGUAAAAGGCUUAUAUGUAGAAUAAAACAUUUAUUCUUUUGCUUUGCAUUUUUUCAUCAUGCAAUAAUGUUUUUUUUUGCAAAGUCUAUUUUUUACUUUUCAACUUUAUUAAACAGUUUAAAACACUUGUAAGAAAAGUAAUCAAAUGCAAUGAGUUACAUUAUUUUGAUGAGUUAAUUAGAAUAGUUACAUUAUUUAAUUAGUAAUGUCACCUGUUACAAUUUAAAUGUGACCCCCCCGACACUUUUUUACUUUGUACAUUUUUUUGUUUUUACUUUUUACUUUAUACAUAUCUAUACUUUAUUUACUGAAAUGUUAUCCUCACCAAAACGUCAGUGACUUUUAGACAUCUUAACAAAGUGCAGGUGAAGAAAGCAAACAAUGUGAGGUUACAUUUUUGUGUCUGUGACCUUUAUAGAACCAGAAAACAGCUGCGUGCCAACCAACCCCAGCCUCCCCUAUAAUGUAAUAUAAAAUAGAUUAAUGUUAAAACAGUUACACGGAGAGGUCGGGAGGUUUAAGAUCACAUUUCUAAAAUUUCCAAAUGGUGUAAGUGAAUUAAUUUGAGAAGGUGCUGUAUUUUGUUCAAGUUAUCAAAAUGGCUGAAAAUGGUAAAUUAACUUUUUGCUUCUGCCCACUGUUUUUAUUUUAAAUAACAGCGUACGUGCAGUAAAAAUAACAACUUAUGUGUCUUUUUUCUGCAAAGUCCAGCUGGGUGUAAUAAGGGUGUGGGCCAUAAUCGGGCCAGAGGCUAUCAGGUUAGGACCAGAUAAGAAAAGUUCACCCCGUGCUGUCUGGUCCACCCCAGAUGUCAUCACAAUAUGCUAAUGAGCCCGGGGGCCUUUAAGUGCCGCAGCCCAGCGUGCAGGGGCUCCAGACGUGGACACAUAGCAGCCAUUAAACAGGAACAGGUGACGGGUAGUGUCGGUGACCAACAACAGACGCCAAACCUAAUGCAAAAAGAUUACAAACACGGACAGAAUGUGCUCUGGCAGCUGUUAAAUCUUGUGCCCUGGACAGGAUAUCAUCUUAUACUGUAAGUUUAUUAAAGAGACACUACAGUAUAGAUGAUGUACUAUCCAGGGUUUCAUUCCCCCGCCAGCGCUAUCAGCACGCACUCACGCCUAACUGACUGUAGUGGGCUGCACGCACUUACAGAGGAGGGCUGUCAAACCGUUACCAUUACUGAGUUUCAGUAAUGGUAAGGGUUAUAUGGCCCUUGCUCAAUGUCAUCUGCGCAGGAGGACGAAGGAAGCUGAUUGAUGUGUUGUACAUGAGGAUGUUUUUGAGAUGUACUUGUGCAUGUGAAAUAAAGCUCCUAAACAAAUAA